rnacentral:rRNA from 1 species
AGAACGAACGCUGGCGGCAUGCCUAACACAUGCAAGUCGAACGAGACCUUCGGGUCUAGUGGCGCACGGGUGCGUAACGCGUGGGAACCUGCCUUUAGGUUCGGAAUAACUCUCCGAAAGGGGUGCUAAUACCGAAUAAUGUCUUCGGACCAAAGAUUUAUCGCCUUUAGAUGGGCCCGCGUUGGAUUAGCUAGUUGGUGGGGUAAAGGCCUACCAAGGCGACGAUCCAUAGCUGGUCUUAGAGGAUGAUCAGCCACACUGGGACUGAGACACGGCCCCAGACUCCUACGGGAGGCAGCAGUGGGGAAUAUUGGACAAUGGGCGAAAGCCUGAUCCAGCAAUGCCGCGUGAGUGAUGAGGCCUUAGGGUUGUAAAGCUUCUUUUAUAGGGACGAUAAUGACGGUACCUGAUGAAUAAGUCACGGCUAACUACGUGCCAGCAGCCGAC